rnacentral:rRNA from 1 species
UACGAAGGGGGCUAGCGUUGCUCGGAAUGACUGGGCGUAAAGGGCGCGUAGGCGGUUUGUACAGUCAGGUGUGAAAUUCCCGGGCUCAACCUGGGGGCUGCACUUGAUACGUAUGGACUGGAGUGGGGAAGAGGGUCGUGGAAUUCCCAGCGUAGAGGUGAAAUUCGUAGAUAUUGGGAAGAACACCGGUGGCGAAGGCGGCGACCUGGUCCUUGACUGACGCUGAGGCGCGAAAGCGUGGGGAGCAAACAGG